AUUGAACGCUGGCGGAAUGCUUUACACAUGCAAGUCGAGCGGCAGCGCGGGGCAACCUGGCGGCGAGCGGCGAACGGGUGAGUAAUGCAUCGGAACAUGUCCAGUCGUGGGGGAUAGCCCGCCGAAAGGCGGAUUAAUACCGCAUACGCCCGGGAGGGGAAAGCGGGGGACCUGCAAGGGCCUCACGCGAUUGGGUUGGCCGAUGUCCGAUUAGCUAGUUGGUGGGGUAAAGGCCCACCAAGGCGAUGAUCGGUAGCUGGUCUGAGAGGAUGAUCAGCCACACUGGGACUGAGACACGGCCCAGACUCCUACGGGAGGCAGCAGUGGGGAAUUUUGGACAAUGGGGGCAACCCUGAUCCAGCCAUUCCGCGUGAGUGAAGAAGGCCUUCGGGUUGUAAAGCUCUUUUGUCCGGAGCGAAACGGUUGUGGUGAAUAUCCACGACUACUGACGGUACCGGAAGAAUAAGCACCGGCUAACUACGUGCCAGCAGCCGCGGUAAAAC
rnacentral:rRNA from 1 species